GACGAACGCUGGCGGCGUGCUUAACACAUGCAAGUCGAGCGGUAAGGCCCUUUCGGGGGUACACGAGCGGCGAACGGGUGAGUAACACGUGGGUGACCUGCCCUCAGCUCUGGGAUAAGCCUGGGAAACCGGGUCUAAUACCGGAUAUGACUCCAUGACGCAUGUUGUGGGGUGGAAAGCCUUGUGCGGCUGAGGAUGGGCCCGCGGCCUAUCAGCUUGUUGGUGGGGUGAUGGCCUACCAAGGCGACGACGGGUAGCCGGCCUGAGAGGCGACCGGCCACACUGGGACUGAGACACGGCCCAGACUCCUACGGGAGGCAGCAGUGGGGAAUCUUGCGCAAUGGGCGAAAGCCUGACGCAGCGACG
rnacentral:rRNA from 1 species